rnacentral:tRNA from 1 species
GAGGUCUUACCUUAAUUAAAGUGUUUGGGUUGCAUUCAUGAGAUGUAUAUUACAAUUAUACAGGCCUUC